UACAGAGGUCACGAACGUUGUCCGGAAUUAUUGGGCGUAAAGGGCGCGUAGGUGGUCAGGUAAGUCAGGUGUGAAAGCUCUGGGCUUAACCCAGGAAUUGCAUCUGAUACUGCUUGGCUUGAGUACGGUAGAGGAGGGUGGAAUUCCCAGUGUAGCGGUGAAAUGCGCAGAUAUCAGGAGGAACACCAAUGGCGAAGGCAGCUCGCUGGGACGUGACUGACGCUGAGACGCGAAAGCGUGGGGAGCAAACAGGAUUAGAACCUACCGAGU
rnacentral:rRNA from 1 species